rnacentral:rRNA from 1 species
GCGGAGGAAAAGAAACUAACAAGGAUUCCCCUAGUAACGGCGAGUGAACCGGGAAGAGCUCAAAUUUGAAAUCUGGCGUCCUCAGGGCGUCCGAGUUGUAAUCUAUAGAGGCGUUUUCCGUGCCGGACCGUGUCCAAGUUCCUUGGAACAGGAUAUCAAAGAGGGUGACAAUCCCGUACUUGACACGACGACCGGUGCUCUGUGAUACGUCUUCUACGAGUCGAGUUGUUUGGGAAUGCAGCUCAAAAUGGGUGGUGAGUUCCAUCUAAAGCUAAAUAUUGGCGAGAGACCGAUAGCGAACAAGUACCGUGAGGGAAAGAUGAAAAGCACUUUGGAAAGAGAGUUAAACAGUACGUGAAAUUGUUGAAAGGGAAACGAUUGAAGUCAGUCGUGACCGAGAGGCUCAGCCGGUUCUGCCGGUGUAUUCCCCUCGGUCGGGUCAACAUCAGUUUUGUCCGGUGGAUAAGGGCGGUAGGAAGGUGGCACCCUCGGGUGUGUUAUAGCCUGCCGUCGCAUACAUCGGGUGAGACUGAGGAACGCAGCUCGCCUUUAUGGCCGGGGUUCGCCCACGUCCGAGCUUAGGAUGUUGACAUAAUGGCUUUAAACGACCCGUCUUGAAACACGGACC